CCUUAGAGUUUGAUCCUGGCUCAGGAUGAACGCUAGCUACAGGCUUAACACAUGCAAGUCGAGGGGCAGCAUGACCUAGCAAUAGGUUGAUGGCGACCGGCGCACGGGUGAGUAACACGUAUCCAACCUGCCGAUUAUUCCGGGAUAGCCUUUCGAAAGAAAGAUUAAUACUGGAUAGCAUAACGAGAAGGCAUCUUCUUGUUAUUAAAGAAUUUCGAUAAUCGAUGGGGAUGCGUUCCAUUAGUUUGUUGGCGGGGUAACGGCCCACCAAGACAUCGAUGGAUAGGGGUUCUGAGAGGAAGGUCCCCCACAUUGGAACUGAGACACGGUCCAAACUCCUACGGGAGGCAGCAGUGAGGAAUAUUGGUCAAUGGACGAGAGUCUGAACCAGCCAAGUAGCGUGAAGGAUGACUGCCCUAUGGGUUGUAAACUUCUUUUAUAUGGGAAUAAAGUGCAGUAUGUAUACUGUUUUGUAUGUACCAUACGAAUAAGGAUCGGCUAACUCCGUGCCAGCAGCCGCGGUAAUACGGAGGAUCCGAGCGUUAUCCGGAUUUAUUGGGUUUAAAGGGAGCGUAGGCGGAUUAUUAAGUCAGUUGUGAAAGUUUGCGGCUCAACCGUAAAAUUGCAGUUGAUACUGGUAGUCUUGAGUGCAGCAGAGGUAGGCGGAAUUCGUGGUGUAGCGGUGAAAUGCUUAGAUAUCACGAAGAACUCCGAUUGCGAAGGCAGCUUACUGGACUGUAACUGACGCUGAUGCUCGAAAGUGUGGGUAUCAAACAGGAUUAGAUACCCUGGUAGUCCACACAGUAAACGAUGA
rnacentral:rRNA from 1 species